GGAAGACACCAAAUCCCUGGACAAGAGGAAGACACCAAAUCCCUGGACUCAGGCCUCACAUGAUUGAGCGAGAGGAACUCUGCUGUCAGACCCUACAAUGCACUCUUCAGUGGAAGAGGAUCACAUAUUCCAAACAUACUCCAUCAGGUCAUAUGCUAAAUGACAGGGCUGAGACCUCUCCACAGCACAUCUGAUACUGGGAUCGAUGAAGAUCAGAUGUGCAAAUCACACUGGGCUCCAGAAAGCCCUAGACUGUGUCAUUCAAGAUGUGUGACAUGGAUAAAAAGCUCCCCAUGGUGGAAAGAGGUGUCAUAAAACACCUAGACAAUGAGAGCAAGAUGGGGGAUCCAAAACGGUGCCCUGGCAUCGGCAGGUGGUGAAACCAGCCAUCUGGCCCUGUGCCCUAUCCUCAGAAGUGCCCCUGCCACCCCAACAGGUACAUUUGCUGGUGAGGAAUUUCUUUCAUUUUAGUGUCCUGGGAACCACGUAUUUUCUGUUGGUGGUGUCUCUCUUGCACCAGGUGAAUCUUUGCCUGGCUUACCUGAGACUUAGACCGUCCCAAUUCCAGCCUCCACUGACGCAAACUAGGUUGGUUCACAAUAGGCUGCCAUAAAAUUUCUCAUUUUUUUCUGUGUUUGAAAUGUGUAACUUUUGAUUUACUUCCUAAGUAAGACUUCUUGAGUUGGGAGCUCUAAAAACUUCCAUUAAAAAAUAAUGGAUUUGUCAAACUUUUGAGCAAAGUAUUGAUGGCACUUCUAAAUCUUUGAAUUUAAUUUCUUCUUUUAGGGGACUCUCAGAAAGGGAAAAUAUGAUCUUACUACAUUGACCAUGCAAAUUCUGAGGUUCAUAUUGAAUCUAAAGUCAUUAGAAAAUGUAAAUCUCAAUAAAAUCCCUAAUACUAAAUACUCAUAUAUAUGUAUAUAUUGCCUAUAGACAUGUAGUAUGUAUUCAUGUAUCAUAUAUGUAUAGGUAUAUAUAUAUAUGUUCAUAUGUCAUAUAUUAAAAUAUGUAUGAAUUUAUAAGAUAAACCUGGAAAUUAUUGACACGUUAUAACUAAAUAAAGAAAAUCUUUAACAACC